ACUAGAAUAGCCAAACCUGGUAAGGCACUUCCCGUGCAAAGGAAGGAUGUAUGGGUUCAAAUCCCAUUUCUAGUC
rnacentral:tRNA from 1 species